rnacentral:lncRNA from 1 species
AAGAAAUAAAAAUUAUUUUUAUAGGGCACAUAGGAAAAAUGCAGUGUUAGAGUUGUGAAUUGAUCCAACCAUUCUGGAGAGCAAUUUGAAACUUUGCACAAAAGGCUAUAAAACCAUGCAUUACCCUUUGACUCGGCAAUACCACUACUAGGUAUGUAUCCCAAAGAGAACAAAAAAAGGGGGGAAAUGAUUUAUUUGUACAAAAACAUUUAUAGAAGCCCUUUUUAUAGAGGCAAAGAAUUAGACAUUAAGGACUGUAAAACUUAAAUUAGUUUCAAUAAUAAAAAUUUUAUAUUUUAUGAGGUUUAUUAAGGAUUAUUAGAAAUCAAGGAAUAAAGAAGAUAAAAAAUAAAAAACCACGUGCCAAUGGCUGAUUAACCAAUUCAGAAUCCCAGCACUUAGCUUACCACUAACUUCCUACAUCAUUGCAAUGGCAGCAGCAGAAAGGAUGCCCUAACUUGCCCCCCUUCUGGGAUCCCCAUAAAGCAAGGGAGGGUCACCAUGGCUCCCAACUGUCAUUAACCUUGAGCCCCAGGUUAAAGUAUAAGCUAGGGAUCUUCAGCACUCAAAGGGCUGCCACAGCCCAGAGACUGAUCCCCCCCUUACUCCCCACCCCUGUCGGUGAGUGUUCCCCAGAGUGUGCCCACACCUGAAUCUCUGGGAACGCUGGGUGGCCAGCAGAGGCACAGCCCUUCCUACUUGCCAGCCCCAGGCCCUCGCAUUCCUAUUCUUCCUGGUCCCCACUAGGGCAGAGCUUCUACUCCCCUGAGGUCCCAGCACACUCACAGUGGAUCAUGGCCAGGAAUGAAGAGGAAAUGGAUCUCAUUUUUGAAAGUGAACGGUUUGGAGAAGACACCAUUAAGAUGUCUCCACAGACCACAAACUGCACCAGAAGAUCCAGAGUGAACUUUGUGAAGUGAUGAUUUGAACUCUGUGGGUUUGAAUGCAUUUGUUUUGUAUGUAUACUCUUAUGCCAAAGGGGACUUCCCCCUAACUGCCUUUUUGUCAAUGCACCUAGUAAUCACUGGUUUUGUUCUCUUUUCCUCUUAUCCACAAAUUAUUGCAAUCUUUAAGUUGAUUAUGUUUUCAUGAUCAUUUUGGGGAAAGUGGUUUCCCAAUAGGAUCACAGGGGGUGAAUGUAUACAUGGAGAUUUUGAACCCCAGACUUCAAUCCCCAGAAGUCCUUGGUGUUUCCCAGAAUUCCCUAUAAUCUCACCUGUGUCCCCAGGUUGGUGAGAUCACAGUUGGUAUUUAACUGGCAGUAACGCCUCCCUCAUUCUCUCUGCCAUGGCAAUGAUAUAGGAAGUAUAGUGGUAAACUAAGGUAAUCAUGGAGAUUUUGAAUGGGCUAAUCAGCCUUGGGCACGUGUUUUUUUUAAAUUUGUAUCUUCUUUAUUCCUUGAAUUCUAAUAAUCCUUAAUAAACCUCAUAAAAUAUAAUAUUUUUAUUAUUAG